rnacentral:lncRNA from 1 species
CCCGCCUCGAAUCCGCCCCGCCAUGAUCCGCCCCGAAUCCGCCCCGAAAAUCAUUUAUAUUUAAAAAAUAUAUUCUUAAAAAAUAAUGUAUUUAUAAAAAAAAGUUCAAAAUGCAAAUAAAUUAGUACUCUCAUUUCUAAUGUAUUUGAAAUUUUUAAAUUUUGUUUUGAAUUGUGAUUGAUAUUUUUUAUUUUUAUAAUUAAUAUUGUUAAAUUAUAUAUAUAAUAUUAUUAAAAAUUAUUAAUUUAUAAUUUAUAAAAUAUUAAUAAUAUUAUAAUUUUAUAAAAAAAUAUUAGUUGGGGGGGCGGAUUCGAGGUGCCGGCGGGAGGUGGGUUACGAGGCGGAUUAUGGGAUGUAUUUUUAACCCGUCACGAAUUCGGGUCGGGAGGCGGGGCGGGAUUUUACUAGUCGGGGCGGGAGGCGGGGCGGGGCUCGUGCCCGCAGAUCCGCCCCGUUUGCAUCCCUACCCGUAGCGCUGAGUCCUAGCAUUGAGCUAACUACCACCUCCUCUUAUUCUUUGCUGAAGAAGACAUUGCACCGAGCCUACAACCUUCUAUUAUUGUUGUUUUAGACCUUGUGUUUCCUUAUUCUACAUUUAUCUACUUGAUUUAGUAAAUUAGAAAUUAAUUAGUAAUAUAUAGUAUUAAAAAUUCAAGUUUGUCAUGGGGACGUAGCGCCCAUCAUGUUGCCCACUAUCCACUAUUUGUCAUAAAGACCCCUAACAGCGACAUGCCUGCCUGAUGCCACGCACCAUUUAGAACAUUGGUUGUACCUCAUAACGAUACAUUAAACUUGCUCUAAAGCUUUCUUGCAUCUAAUUCCUUGGGGUUUGGGACUGGUUGCAACAGAGAAAACUGAGAAUGUAAAAUCAGAUAUUAGGUGACAGAUAUUUCGAUUAGUGGAUUAAAGGACAUUAUGAAAAUUUAAGUAUUCAAAAAGUUUAUUUCAAUCACAUGUUGUAUCACUGUAGGAAACUUGGCUCUGAUACAAUGGCAAAUCAGAUAUCAGGCAACAAAUGUCUUGAUUAGUGAAUUAAAGGACACCAUGAAAGUUUUAGUAUCUAAAGAGUUCACUUCAAUCUCAUGUUGUAUCAGAGUAGGAAACUUGGCUCUGAUACCAAGUUGAUGCAGCCUUCCAGACAUGCUGGGUAGGAUUUAGGUUACGAUCUUAACAAAGUUUCUAUUCAGAAGAGAAAUCAAGACUUCAUGCACUGGCUAAUAUAUAACCAAACCCUAGCCAACAUGUAGGCUGGAAAACAUUUUUGGGUUGCAUCAUUCCAGAUUGCAAUAGCUUUAGGUAUUAGAUGAUUACAGUUUCUGAUCUUUCAGUUUAGGUCAUUUUGACUUCAAGGUUGCCUAGGGUUUUAGGUCACUGGAAUUCAGUCUGCUGUGUUCGGAUUAUCUUGGGUUUCAGACAAUCAGACUAUUAGGUAGUCAAGUUUAAAUCAUUUGGAUUCCUGGUGGUUUUAGAAUUGACUAUGAUGGAUUGAUUUUUUUAGUUCCAGCUCUUUUUGAUAUAUAAUUUGUUCUUUGACUUUUCUGCUGGGUUUGAAUAGAUUGAUAGCUGAGAGUUAAUAAUUGCUGAAAAAUUCUUGCAAACCCUCUAUUAUGAAUUAUUGGUUUUUCUAAAAAAGGAAUUUCUGAAAGCUUGUCUUUCAAUAGUAUUAUCUGUUGAGUACUAACUAUAUGAUGAUGUUUCUCUAUGAAAUAUCAUCUAUAUAUUUAUAUUUGUUGUGUAUUACCUAAAUUCAUUGAUAUUUUGUGUACAUUUCUGUAUGAAAUAUCGUCUAUUAAUCAUUUUUUUAAGAGGUUAUGCAAUUAGAACCAAAUCAUUCUUGAAAUUUAUAAAUUUCUCUAUAGUAGCACUGCCGCCAGCUAACAAGCUAACAACCGGCCCUCCUUACCCCAUUAGGAUCAUUGUAGGGGCCAUUUCCCUCUCUCCCAUUCAUUGGCCACCCUCCAUCUAUUUAUGAAUACCCAACGACCUUACCUGCACCCUACCUGCACACCAAGGAUUUAAGUGCCGUGGCACGGGGUCGUGCCGAAAACUUGCCCGCACGGUGUGUGCCAAGUCGUGCCGAUGCGCGCUGAUUAAAAAAAUUCUUUUGUGCCGACGCAUAAUAGCAUGAAAUAUUUAUUUUCUUCAGCAACAAAAUAUUCUAACUAUUUAUUAUGUCUUUUUAUCACAUCUUUUGAACUUUAUUGAAGAAAUUACUUACUAAUUUAAAGAAUAGAGGGUUUUGAGCUGUGCCAUCGGCACGGAGCCUGUAUCGUGCCGGUAUUUUGUUGGCACGGUGGAUACGGCCCGUGCCGUCGGGCACUUAAAACCUUGCUGCACACAGCGCCUUCUCUCUGUCUCUCUCCCUACCUGUGCACAGCAACUUCUCUCUCUCUCUCUCUCUCUCUCUCUCUCUCUCUCUCGCACACACCUUUGCUCUACACAUCUUCAAGCAUUUGGUGUUUCAUAACAACAAUCUAUUCAUUCAACGUCCGACAUACCAGUCCUUUAUAUUAUUGUUUAACCUAACAGGUAUCUACAAAGUCAAGCCAAAGCAUCAAUAAUAGAUACAAAAAAUGAAAUGUUGUUAUUAGUGAAAUGCUUUUGCCUCUAGCCUCUUUCGAGUUAUUUGGAAGAAAAAGCUGCUCUGUAGGAACUAGUUGACUACUAAUUUUACUAAAAUAAAUUGGUAAGUAAAACAAUUUCGGGAUCUGAUAGAUGCGACUCAGAUCAAGUUUUUUUUUGGUUAUUACCUUCGUGAAAAGCUAUUAUUGAGAGACGAAAAAAAAUACAAACAAAAAUAAUGAAGAAACUCGAUGAGUGAUGUGUUUGCUCUCUCAUGAGUAAUUGAAUAAGAUGACCCAACAAUGUGCAUUGCUGGUUAGUUUGUUCCAUGAUAAGAAUCAUCAUUGCUUGUGCAUCUAAUGUUAAAUAUAGUCUAGUCGCCUCACUGUGUAGUCAAUGGCUAGGUAUCUUCGACAGCAUUUGAGAAAGACGAAGAACAAGCUCUAUGGAGUGCUUACUUGGAAGUUUCUACAAAAAUUCAUCCAGGUAUGCAGUGCGUAGUGUGGCAAACUGAGAAUAUGUAAUUGUUCGAUCUAUCAUUUUUAACUUUUAUGUUCUCUGCCUUAAUAGGUGUUGAUAUUGAAACUUUUGCGCAAACAUCUUUGCUAUUGCUACAACCCCUUGAAGAUUUUUUCAACAAUGUCUUUGUUAUGGCGGUAAGUUCCAGUAUAACUUCUCCUAGUGUUCCUAUCUGGGGAUAACUCAAUUGAGCUGUGAUUUGACUAAAACCUCCACAUGUUUUUUUAUAUAAUUAGCACAUUUUAGGUAGUAAAUUCUUGUAGAAGAUGGCACGUUGUAGGUUAAUACGUGAAAUUUUAACCUAAUACAAUAAUAUCUAAAGCAUGUAUUCUUUAAAGAGCGUUCAAACAGCAUCUUACUGGAACAACUGUUGUACAUAAGGGAGAAAGCAAUCUUCAAUUUGUUCUCUAACUAAUUUGGUUGGGAUGCAGCACAAUAAUCCUACAUUCUCUGUUUGCCAUACAACGAAGAACUUACAUGUGGUAGUUGCGGUAGGACAAACAGCACAAAAACUAAACUGAGGACUGAACUCACCCACAUUGUUAUUUAGAGGGCCCAAAAAGAUCCGGAAGCUCCUUGGAACUUCCAUCCUCUGAUGCUAAAAAUAAAAUAUUGAUGGUACUUCCCAACUCUGGUGCUAUAAAUAAAAUAGUGAUGGGAACCACCACCGAAGAAGCAUCCAGCCUGAUGCUUCUUCGGUGGCAAUUCCCACCAUCAUUUCACAGCAUAGGAGUUGGGGAACUCAAAACAUUUUCAAGUUAUAUGGGCUCUCUAAAAUAUCAAAACGGGUGCAUUUGGCCGCCUCCUUGAACUUUGGUGUUGGUAAUCAUAGUUAUGUAGUACUUUUAAGGCCUAAUUACCUGCACAUGAUAAUCUUUUUCUUAUACUGUCGGGUAAUACUUGUAGUUAUUGUAGUCCAAUAAAAAGUACUGUUACUGGCACUUGGUCUGACUGAUAGCACAGUGAUGGAUUCUCAGUCUAGUUGUAGGUUAUUCUGGGUCUAGUAACUCUGUAAUAUAUAGUAUUUAGUUUAUUUCUAACAAGUAAUAAUACUGUAAUCAUCUGUAAUCUGAAUGUUCCUUAAGUCUCCUUUUUUUUUUUUCUACUGGCAUGCUGUGAUAAUAUCUAUCUGCCCUUAUAUCACCUAAUAAUCUUCUGCAUUUUCCGAUUUCCUAAGAUUUAUGAGCAAUUUAUUUUUGUAAUCUAGCUGUGAAUGUUAGAAUCCUACAUUAAGUGUAUCAGCAUCUACAGAAGCAUAGACAAGACUAUUCGCUAGUCUGCAUCCUGAGGUUGGAUCACAAUGCUUAAUGAGCUUGUAGGCCCAGAAAGCAAAAGCUCCAAAACAUCUACUUAUGUUUUCAGCAAGAAAGCUGCAGCAGUCAGGAACAUGAACAGCUGCUGAAAAUUUUUUGCACAGCUCUACUGAAACAUCACCUGUAGAGAAGCUUUCUAGCCUGGCCAAGCAGGCUCUUGAAAAGCUCUAGAUAUUACCUACUAUUGUUGUCAUAGAGGAGAAUUUAUUCUGCUUGUUUUAGAAUCAAUGGUACUUAUUUUCCUCAAUAGUAACAAAAAGGGAGAUUAUUGUCCAUUUAAGAUCUGAAAAUAAAAACACUCUGUUCAGGAGGACCAAAGUAUCAGAAAUAAUCGGUUGGCGCUUCUUAAGAAGAUUGCGGACUUACCGAAAGGCGUCGCCGACCUCUCAGUUCUACCUGGAUUUUAACACAACCAACAGCGUACUCCAACGCGUAACACAUUCCUUUUUUCUUUUUCUUUUUUGACAUUUGUAAUGAGAGAAUGUUCAAUAGAUGCUAAUUGUAUGAUCGGAGUAUACUAUUUAUUCUCUUGCCCUCGCGGUUACUUUGUGCUCCUUUGGUUAUGGUGAGGACCUUUUUCAAUAUAAAUGUGAUACUCUUACCACAUCGUAUGGAAAUGCGAUUAUAAUUGGGCAUAUAAGAGACCAUGGAUCCUAAUAAUAAUAAUUGGGCUUAAGUAUUUUGGGCCGGUGGUUUGGAUUCAACGAGUUUUUAUUGUUAAUGAGCCGGAUCGUUACAGUAAAUGUAGUGAAAAUUUAUAUAUAUUUUCGCACACUCUACAUAUUAAAAACGAGUACAGUUUUUCCAUAAGAUAUGUUUAUUCUUGUCCAGGAUCUUCAGUCAAUGCUAUGUGAGAUUAUAAGCACUGUUGAAAAACCUACCAUAGGGAUUUGAAGAUCAGAAUAAGUGUUGGAGAUUUAUUUUUAAUGAAUGGAAUAAUGUUUCUCUGGGUUUUUUUUUAUGUUCUGGACAAGUGGAUUUUAGUAGUUGAUUUUCAAAAUAGUAUAAUUUUCUAUACGCAGUCGUUUUGGAUAUAUUGUUUAUUAUGUUUAUUAGAUGCCCAUUUUGCAUAAAAAUCUCACCGGAUUUGCAAACUUGCAAAUUCGGUCUAUGUUUUUGGAUUUUACAGAUUUAAUCUGUUUUUCUAGAAAUUUGAACAAAUUGCCCCUCUACCCCAAAAAAAUAAAAAAUGUAUACAGUAUACAAAUCAAAUAUUUUUUGUACGGCGCAUAUUAGCAUCCCAAGAAAAAAUGUGUAAUGCCGCCUAAUAAUUCUAAUAUGUUUGUUUAUAAUCUGGAGACAUAACUAGAACGUCGGGAUCUAAAUGAGGGGAGUUUGUAACAUUUCAAUAGUUUUACAUAGGAUGAAAAAUGAAUUCUAAUUGAAAAUAUAAGAUUAUGCAUUCUAAUAAUAAUAAUUAGAUUUAAGUAUUUUGGGUUAGUUUUUAGUAGGUCAUGUCGUUACAAAAUAACUAACAACAAAAGAGGUAGACAACCUACUUUUUUUAAGAAUUUGCAUAAAUUGUUAUCUCUAAUGUGAAUCCUGUAGUUUUAUUUGUGCUGUUUUUAUUGUUUCUUGUGUGAAUUUUUUUCUAAAAAAAGUAAAGGUCACGAAAAUAUAAGAACUAAAUAUAGCAAAAAAAGUAUAGAGAUUGUAAUAUCUUCUUAAAUAAUAUAAUAUUUGUAUAAAUUGUGGAAUACAUGUAUAAAUAUUGUUACGUACCUCUUAAUUCUUCGUUCUUUUCUUUUUCUUUUUCAUCUUUGUUCCUUGGGCUUUUUUGGCUUGUAGCCCCUCAACAAAAAAAAAAAAAAUUCAAUAACCUUACAGAAUUUAUAUUUGCAAGAUUGAUUUUAUCCCUAUCACUCAAGUGUCAUAUAAGCGUGACUAGCAGUCCAGGGUUUAAGUUGAACAAGGUGAAUCAGGCCUGGUGGUAGCUAAGGAUUGUGAUGGGUUCUAGCCAGCCCAUGCUUAGCCGGCUCGGUCCUCGAGUCACCUGACCCAUGCCCCCAUGCGACACUGCCCGCACAUCAUGCCCAGCUCACGGCCGGCCACGGCACCACCCGGGAGGGGCCGUCGUGACUAUUGCUUCCGAUCGAGCAAGCACGAUGGGGCGCCUUUUUUCAUAUUUUAUAAUUUUGUGUAAAUAUACUUAAAUUAUUUAAAAAUAUAUUUUUUAAAUUUUGAAAAAAAAAAAUCAUGCUAGACAUAAUUAAAAUAGGUUUUGAGGGGUUUAUAUCAAGUUUAGAUCGAAUUAGAAUCAAUUCGGAUCAAAACAAUACUUCAAAACUUUGAAUUUGAAUUCCAGACUAAUUCGAACAACAAGAGUUUGGGCACCCAGAAUAGAUUUCGGGCCCCUUGCGACGCCCAGAUCUUUUGAACCUUAUCCAGAUAGUUGGAUUUGGGAAAAUCUAGAAUUCAGAUGCCCAGAAUACUUAUGGGCGUUCGAAUGUUGAUUGGGACUCCACCCGCGGGCGCGGAGAUAACAUUCAAACUCUCUAAUCCAGAAGAACUUUCAAAUAGCCCCUGUGGGGACACCCAGAAGAACUUUCAAAUAGCCCAUUGGAAGCGCACCCGAAUGAGUUUCGGAUCCUUUCUCCUGAGAGCGCGAUAAAAUAAGCAUUCGGAUGCCUGAAAGUCCUGCGACGUCCGGAUUGUAAAGUGGGUGGAGUCACUGGGCACUCGAUUCCUGAACUGGGCGCGACUACGAUCGAUUCGGGCGCCCGAAAUCCUGUGCACAUAUUUUGUUUUGUCCGGAUUGUAAAUAAAAAGAAUUGAGCAGCUUAGUGCUAUUGUAGCACCCCUAUAAAAUGGUUCUCACACUAUGAACCCUAACCACAGCCAUUGUUUACUCUCCCUCACUCUCUCUCUCUUCCCUUUUCUUUCUCUAAAAGAGAAGAGGUGUCGUUGCUUCCUCUUCUUGGAGCUUAGGAAUCCAUCUUCUCCAAAACUUAGAAAAGGUGGAGUGCUUCAAGAAGAAGCUUUAGGAGGAAGAAGUAGCUCUUCUCUCCCACGUUUAGAUUACCAGAAAAAGAAGAGAUAGAGUUCGUAUUUUAUUAGGGUUUGGUUUUAGGGUUUUCUCAAAUGGAGAUUUUUAGAAUUCUAACUUCACUAGAACCGUAUUUAGUUUUUCUUAGUGAUUUUAAUAAGAGAUCAAGUCUAGCUAUUGUUGAGGAUCAAGCAAAUGUGGGGAUUAUUAUCAAAAAUUUUUUUUUUUGAUAUCUUUGUUAUCCAAAUCUUUUUUGUAUUAUUAGCAUGUAUUAUUGGUAAUAAAUAAACUAAAUAUGAUAGUUGCAUAUUAGGGAAAUAGAAUUUUCUAACCCAUUGUAUGGUAAAUGACAUUAUGUGUGAUGCAUGUAAAAAAUUUGGAAACCUUGCAUAUCGGUUAAACAAGUGGUAUUUAAAUUUAGGUCAAAACUUAAGGUGAAAUAUAGUAAUGACAUGUGAACUCUAGGCUGUGUGUAAAUUAGAGAACCAGGAUGAACAUGGUUAAAACCUUAGAAGUCAUGAACUUAGAGUGUAAUGGUAAAAUAUGUGCGGUCUUCAAAAAGUAUUAAAAAAUAAAUGGAGGUGUGGAGCGAUUGACUCCCUAUGAGGUACUUGGAGAGUCCGAAACCAACAGACUCCAUUUACCUACCGAUUGGAAAUGUGCGAGUGAUCGACUCUCCACGAAGUGUUGCAAAUAAAGAAACUAAACCACCAAGUUAGUUAAAACAAAUGGAUGCUUGAAAGGCAUGAGAUGGUUAGAGGCAUGCAAUAAUUUGGGUAAAUAUGUAACCAAUGAUAUAGUAACAUCUUGUAUACUUCAGACAUUCUAGUUGCAUUUUUAUUAUUGCAUUUCUAUUAUAGAGAUAUUUGUUAUAAUUAUUGUUUGUCUAUUAAUAUUUUUCUUGGACUGAGUGAGUGUAAAGUAUUACUUUUUAUAGUUGCACCCACUGAAAACUCACUGUUGUUCUCAUUUCUUUAUUGUUUGUCUUUUUUUUUUUUCAAAGGCUAUGGUUGUGGUGAGGUGCGUGUAGGGGUGUAAUGUUGGCAGUGCCGAGCCGGCAGGGCCCACAUUAGCCGACUGGAAACGGGCCGCAGGGCAACCCGGCCCGGCCCAUCGUCAAAUCCGGGCCGGACUGUACCAGGCCAAAGCUAACCAGUUCUCGGCCCAGCACGGCCCUCUGGCCUAGAAGUCACAGGCUGUGCUCCGGGCCGGCCCUUUAAAUUUUUUUAUUUUUAAAAAAAUAUGUUUAAUUUAAAAAUAACAAUAAUAAAUUAUUUGUAUUUAAACUAGUAUUUUGAUUAAAAAAUUUUAAAAUUUAUAGAAAUAACUAUAAAAUAAUUUUAAAUUUUUAAAAAAUAUAUGAAUUUUUAUUAUUAUUUAAAAAAAAAGCUUUUGGUCCAACAGACUAAAAGUCUUUAGUCCAUUGGGCUAAGAAUCACCUCUCACAAGGUCUGGCUCUUGGCUCGGACCCCAUUGGGCCUUGGGAUUCGGACCGUGUUGGCUCUUCUGGCAUGGCCCAAACAGGCCGUGCCGUGUCGGGCUGCCCGUCUUUCUUCAGCCCGGCACGGCCCAGGCAUGGUUCGGGCCAUGCCAUGCCAGCCCGUCGGGCCCAAGGGGGAGCGGCCUAGCACGGCCCAAAAGCUCGGGCCGAACCAGGCCGGGUGCUGCAGCUCGGCCCGAAGCCAUGCCUGGCCGGGUGGCCCACGUGUUGCCUGACCCGUUUUACACCCCUAGGUGCCUGGUUGGCGUAAAGGUGUCGCAUAAUAGUGAAUCUAGAGAGGUCUAAAUAAUACCUCUUUUUAUAGCCAGAAAAGAUGCUUAUAAUAUUUUGGCACCCUUCGUGGAAUAGUUGAACACUUAAUUUCAAUUGAAAUGUUUUUACUAAUGUGGUUACAUUAAACAAUCUUAAGCAGUCAAACUAAAUGCAAACCUUGUUGUUGUUCUUGGCACUCUUUGUGGUUUUGACCAUUUUAUAAUUUUGGUUGUUGAUAACAUUGUGGAGGAUAACGACAAUAUAGAGAAACUAUAACAAUGUCUAUAUUAUUACUCAGCGCAUCGCUUCGGUUUCUUAACUAGUAAUUGAUGAUGACACAAAAAUUAUCAUUUCUCCACGUGAAUUCAGUGAGGAAGACGAGACCGACGUGCUUGGGUUAAUGUCAUUGUAUUUUUAAGAUUUAAUUUGUNGAGCUUUUGGCAAUUAUGAGGGCUCAUUAUGAGGGCUCAUUAUGUAGGCAAUAGUGGGUGAGUUAUGUGGCUAGUGGGUGAGUUGAAAAGGCUCAUUAGGUCUAUAAGUAGUGGGGUUUGGUUAAGGUCAAAACACACAAGAGAGAGUGUGUGUAUGUGUGGGUUGUAAUCUCUUUUCUAAGUAGUGUAGUACUUAGUUUUUUGAGUGAACUUCUGCCUCUCUCUCUUUGUCAUUCCCUUUGCAUAUUUAGUCGUAGGACGCGAAGGUCCAGACUAGCAACAGGGGCGAAGGCUUGCCCAUCUUCGAGCAGGAAGGCGGGCGCCGCACGGACUUUGUGAACAGAAUUGCUAAGGCCGUGACAAGCUGCUGGCUUUAAAUGGCAGUUUAUAUAUUGAAGAUGCACAAUCUUUGCAAAUUUGAAACCACCUGUAAAUGGGAUUUUGACACACGUAAUCGAAUCCUAAUAGAAAUGGGAUAAAACCAUUCAUAUAUAUAUAUAUAUAUAUAUAGAAGACAACCAAGGAAAACCGAAUAGCGAAAAUAAAUAUAUUUUGCUCAGACUCCCCCCGAUCAUCGAACAUCAUUAGAUUGGCGCCGAAUCCUGGGCACUUAGUACUGGGGAUUGAGUUUCAACCGACAUGUAUACCGAAAGUAUUCUUAGCCAAAAUAAGAGGAACUGGUUGCCUAGGGGAAAGGCCAUCCAAAGUCCCCCUUCUACCAGUGAAGAAGCAGAUCAAUUGGUUGGCUAUGAAGCAGGUCACACAAAGCACCUUCAGGACCAGUGGAGAAGUAGGACACCCGAAAUGAUUCUAUCAUCAAGCAAGAAGGCCCGGCGCGUCCUCAACUAUCGCAAAUAAUUCACAUUCAAGGGGAAGGUCAUCAUAGCAUAGGACAAAAAGGAGUAAAGAGAAACUCUGAAAAAUAGAAGGACUGGACUAAAAGUGAGGAAAGCAAAGUACCCCAAAAGCAACAAAACAUCAUCGAAAACCACGCCGACCUGAACUCAACAUAUGUAGGACUAAAUCAAAAUAUGCCGCAUUAAGAAUUCAACAAAUUGAAUUCUGAAACACCCAGCCAAAAUCUGAAUAUAAUAUGAUGAAUUCAACAUAUUGCCUAGCUAAAUUGAGCUGAAUCCAGAAUUCCCGAUGUAAUUUUGAAUUGUGUUGAUGUAUUCUGCAUGCAAUACAGUGUCCAAGCUUAUAUUGGAGACCGUCAACCAAACAAUGCCAGCAGUAAGACGUUCUAUUGUGAAUGAUAGUAAGCCAAAGCAUAAAAGUCAGAAACUAAAAUUAUUUAAUUUCACAUUGCAAAUUUGAGCAAAUUAAAGAGGGUAAAGCGGAAACCAAAAUCAACCGAAAAGACCAGGUUGCCAGUUCUUUUUCUCGGAUGACGGCUAGGAGCAUACUGACAUUCAAUAUUCCACAAACUAAAUUUCGCCAAUAGUCUUCUAGAAUUCAGAUUCAUGAAUCCCAACCGGCUGUGUACAAAGUAUGUCAGCGAAAAUGCCCCAAUGACUAACCAAAAAGGCCCGGGCCGAUGUUAUUCAUCGUAAACAUUCAACAUUCAAGUUAUUUCAUGGACAAACUUGUAGUGGAUAAACAGAUAUAGAAGAACUUAGAAAACUUUUGCUGAAUCCUGCAUAGUGUUAAAUUCCUAAUUAGGAACUAAGGCCAUGAAUUUAAAUCCUUUAAGGAAAUUAGCCCAUAAAUUUCAGGAAAAAAAAUUUUGAAACUUCAAGGUCAGUGGUAGAAAUAGUUUACACUUAAAACCAUAUGAUGUAAACAUAGAAUACAAAGAACAUGCCUGGUUACUCUUUACAAAUGUUGAGGUGGAGCAAGCAAAUUAAAGCUAUUGCAAACUCCAUGCAGGUUGAAAAGAGCUUGAAACUUUUAGAGGACAAAGGAAUACAUAAAACCAAACAGAGGGAUCCCAAAGCACAUGUCAUAUUUUAAGCCCAAAAGUACGCAUAAACUUAAGCUACAAAGCAAGGAUUUAAGUGCCGUGGCAUGGGGUCGUGCCGCAAACUUGCCGGCAUGGUACGGCACGGUGCGUGCCGAGCUGUGCCGAUGCGUGCCGGUCAAAAAAAUUCUCAUGUGCCGACACAUAAUAGCAUGAAAUAUUUAUUUUCUUUAGCAACAAAAUAUUCUAACUAUUUAUUAUGUCUUUUUAUCACAUCUUUUGAACUUUAUUGAGGAAAUUACUUACUAAUUUAAAGAAUAGAGGGUUUUGAGCCGUGCUAUCGGUAUGGGGUCUGUAUCGUGCCUGUAUCUUGUUGGCACGGUGGAUACGGCCCGUGCCGACGGGCACUAAAAACCUUGCUACAAAGUCUAGCUUAUAGUACAUAGCCUAUUUUACAAAUAAGGGAAAAGCAAAGCAUUAUAAGUUAUGGGUAUCAACCCCGGAGUACAAAAAGAGCUGAAGAAACCCUUAGACACCUAAGAAAAACCAAAAGGACACGGAGGAAGGCAGCAGCAGCAAGAAGUAGGUGCAAGCUUGCAGAACAAUAUGAAGACCAAGGGAGAAGCACAGGGCUAAGAAGCCGACCCUGAUUCAGAGGGGUUAGUCGCCAUAGUAGUACGGUCCGCAUGAAGGUGAUCGACGGUCGCACGAUAUUCGUCAAUUGUACGGCGCAUUUUCAGGUGCUCAUCUAUAUACCUCACUUUUUUGGCAACAGAUGAAGCAUAACAAUCCCUAAGAAUACUGUGUUCACGCUUCAAUUUAUUGCACUGCCCAAGGAGGUCAGUAAACUAGGCUGUAACAUUAUCGUACAUACUUUUAUACAUUAUGCAGUCGUCAUAAUUUAUAUCUUUUAUAUGAAGAUCGAGCUUAGCCUUCAUUCGCUCGAUUGCCACAUGGGCUGAAUCAUCCUUUGCCAGAAGAAAAUCAGGGGACGCAGCACCCUAGCAGCGGGCAAUUUCGACAAUUGCCCCAUUGCGCGCAAUAGGAAGGUCUAUAUACGCAACGAACCAGCCUUCAGCACCGGCUGUGGCAACACAAUCAGGGACCCGGAAACCCAACUUCUGAUAGAUUUCCUCAAGUAAUUUAAUAAAAGAGAGCUGAACAAUCGACAUCCUAACAACUGUAGUUAAAAGGGAAAUUGGAGAACGAAGCAAACAAUUUAGAAGUGCGAGGAGAUAAAUUGGGAAAAAUCAGCAUGCACAGGGACCUCAGAAAACACCAAAGUGAUCUCAUUUCCUAAAAACAUUUGUUAAGAAAUUGAUGAAUUAUGUAUAUCAUAAUUUAUAGGGAAUAGACUGGCCCUUUUGUUUUUGAAAAGCAUUUCUUAAGUAUAAAGGAAUGCACACGGACCUUAGUAAACAUCAUAGUGAUCUCAUGCCUUUAAAAAAUUUCGUAUGUUUAUCAUAAUUUAGAGUGAGUAGACUGAGCCAUCACUCACCAAAAAGGACUGAGAGAACAAAAGUUCAGUAACAGGUAAGGGGAGCUGGGCGUCGAAAAGGACAGAGUAGCACACAACCUAGGAGGAAAAAGCCAAAGCAGUGACAUCAGGCAUCCCAAGUUUUGUAUAAAAAAUUUAAUCAAUUCGAUUUCUCAAACCUUGGUCCGGAACAGGACACAGCAGCAGACAACCUAGGAGGGAAAAGGCAAUGCAGUGAUAUCAGGCACCCCAAACACCGUAUAAAAAUUUUUACAAAUUCAAUUGUCCAAACCUUGGGAAUCAAGGCAGCCACCUCAGAGUGCAGCAAGUAUUAUAGGAGGGCCUAACAGAGAACCAAAAGCACAGGGGAUCGACACCUUUCUCUAACAGACGACGGAUAUUAUAGGAGGCCGACGGAAUCUAAAGCAAGAGUUCUAAACGGAGGUAGAGUAUAGGGAACCAAAAGCCUAAACCUUAUAAACAAAGGCAACCAAUCCGUGGCAUCUCUGCAUAUAUGCAUGAAUAUUUAUAGGUCCUUGCUGCAACUAGGGAGCAAGAGGGGGAUAGGGAUGUGGGGGAGUGGGGCAGGCUGCCCUGGGGGCCCAACCGUACCACCACGUGCUAAGAGAGCGAGGAGGAGAGAGCAGGGCGGCGGAGUAGAUCAGAGAGUGGAAGAGCGCCCAUCAUAGGUGAAGGGACACUACGAGCAUGAGGGAACCCACACCCGGCGGUGACUCAGAGGAAGCCCGGGCAGGGGAAGGAAGGGGUAUUAGAUUGUAGAGUAGGGUGUAAUAAUUACAUACCAUAAACCUUAUGGGCAUCAGGUAGCCCAUAUCUAGCGGCGGUGGGGAGAAGGACGACGAUGGCCAUCGCAAAGAGAGGGAAGGCGGGUACGGCGCACGUGCGGAGAAGUGCCACGAUGCCCAUCGCAGAGAGAGGAGUUGGGGCACGGUGCACACCGGCGAAGCUAGGCCUCCUGCCACGCCGUACGCCUGCACGUACGGGGAGAGCGACAACGCCCCGUAUCCUGCGGCCAAGGUUUAAAGUGCCGUGGCACGGGGGCGUGCCGCUACGUCCUUGGCACGGUACGGCACGGGCACGCUUGCGUGCCGACACGUGGCACGCUUGCGUGCCGACAGAUACGCACGACCUCCUACUGGCACGCUUUGGCACGAAUUUAUUUAAGUUUUUUUGGUUCCAGUAAGCUUUUAUAAUGUUAUUUUGAAAGAUUUAGGCAAGUUAUUAUUAAUUUUUGCUAUGUAUAGCUUAUUAUACUCAUCAAUUAACAUGCAUGUAAGCAUUUUGUAUAUAAAGUACAACUAUACCUGAUGUAGAAUAUAAAUUAAAAUUCUUUUGUUUUUAUUUUUUUUUAUUUGAAAAGUACAACUAUACUUGCUGUAACAAUUGAAAAUUCUUUUGUUUUUAAUUUUUUUGUAAUUUAAAAAAUUAUAACAGAUAAAAUGAUAGAAAAUUUUAUUUUUCUUAAUAAAACGUUCUCAAAUCAUGAUAUAUUGAUUCGAUUAGAAAUAUAUAUAUACUAAUAGAACACGAGAAUAGUACCGCAUUACAUUCCAUAUUUUUUUAUUCUUUAAAAAAGUAUCUAAUCAAAAUUUUUAGAAAUCAAAUUUUGUUCCCUGAUUCAUCGAAAACUUGCGGUGCCGACAAAUUUUGACACAAAUAAUUUGACGAAGAAAAAAAUGGAUUAUCAACUAAAAAUUUGCUUUUAUAUGUUUAAAUAAGAAGUUAAAUUAUAAUUUUAAUUUAACAAAGAAAAAAGAAAAAGUCAAAAGAAAAAGCCAAAAGGCAAAAAAAAAAAAAAAAGGCAUCAGCCAAAAAGAAAAAAAAAGUUGACAAAAAGACAACACAAUGUCAAAAAAAUAAAAGAAAAGUGAACAAAAGCAAUAUAGAUGGCGGCGCGAGGCUCUGUAUCCAGAGAACAAAAAAAAAAGAGACAAAACCAAAAAAAAAAAGCCAAAAAAACUAUAAAAAAAAAGCUGGCACGGCGGCACUGCCGCCGGACAUGCACCCUGCCGCUCUGUCUCGAGCGCACGGGGCAUGUCCGAGGCACAUGGGGGGGGUCGAGAACCCCCCUGUGCCGUGCCGCCCUUCUUGGGGCACGCACGCACGCCCCUGCCGCACGCACGGGCUGGCACUGCUAUCCUUGCCUGCGGCAUCUGCGAGGGUUUUGGCUUCGUGAGAGAGGGAUCGGAAAGAGGAUCGGUAGACAGAGUUCGGGAGACACGGGUAGGCGACACGUAGCCCUUCCGAUAACCCACGUUACGCGGACCGUUUUGAAAUGCAUGCUUUUAUAUAUAAAAAAUAGAUAUAUUAUAAUAUAAUAGUAUAGAUAUAGAUAUAGAUAGUAUAGAUAUAUAUAUUAUAUGUAGUUAGAUAUAAUACUAUUUAUAUUAUAUAUAAAAAGUGUAUUUCAAAUUUCAAUCUGACAUAGAUAGAACUAUUUCAAAAUUUCUCUUGUUUGUACGUAAGACUCUUUUUUCACUACCUCUUAAUAUUUUUUUUUAAAUAAUGUAAUGAAAUAAACUUUUAAUUUCUCUUUUUUAUCUAACUGUUCAUAUUUUUUUAUUAAGUAUUUUAAUCAUUUAAUAUCUUUUCUUUUUAAGGUGAAUAAUUAUAGAUUAUCUCUAUUCUAUCUACUAAUAUGUUUUAUUAUAUUAACUUUUAUUGGUUGGAAUCAAUAAUCAAAUUUAAGUUAAAAUUUUAAAUACAUAUUUAAAUUUUAAUAUAUUUUUAUUUUAAAUUUUUAUUUAUCCAAAAUUUAGAGGUGAAAUUGAAUUAUAUAAUUUUAAUUUUAAUUUUAAAAUUUCAAAUUAAAAUUAAUAUUUUAGUUUAAGCCAUGAAUUUAUUUCUUGGCCAAUUUGCAUAAAAAAUCUACUAGUUUUGCGCUUUUGCAAAAAUGGGCCAUUUUUUUGAUUAAAAAAUUAUUAAACUGAAUCUCCAACCCUAAGUUAAUGCUGCGCCUCUCUUCUACCUCAUCCGCACCUUUGCCAACUCCCAUGGUGACGAUGGGGGCUCUGAUAUGGCAAAGAUCGUAAAGGUAAGACUACACUACAACAAAAACGGUAUAUAGCGCCACUUUUAAAUGUCGAUAUAGGUAAAAAAAAGUACUGCUAGGUAAAUUAUCGACACUUAUAAAAAGUGUUGCUGUAGUAUCCCUGGUGUUUGGUUGCCCAUGAGAUUUCAGCAUCUAGGGUUUGUCGACACAUCUGGAGAGCGUCGGGACAAGUCGGAGUCAUUUUGGUGCGAAAUGGACGCAAAACGAACUCGACGCGAGACGAGAAUGGAGUUCUGACGCUGAAAUCCGCAAAGUGCAGGAUUUCAGUGUUGAGUACCGGUACGGUAUCGGGCUGGUACCGAUACCCCAGUGUAAUUCCAGAACAACAUGCUCUCGAAUUGCGUCAAUUUGAUGCUAAGUACCGGUACGGCAUCGAACUGGUACCGAUACCCUGUGUGCGAGCUUGCAGGCUGAGAGGCUGAGUACCGGUAACCAAAUCGGGUACCGGUACUCCAACUGUAAUUUUGAGUUGGUGAAAGGCCUUUUGGUCAUUUAAGGCAUCGUUAAUAUCAACCUUAUCCCUACCUCUUUGUAUGUGUAGAGAGACAGAGGAGGUUUUUGGAUUGCUACUCUCUCUCUCUCUAGUUCUUGAUCAUGUUCGAGGUGGAGGUCACGACUCGAGCUCGAGAGUUUAUCGUCGUUGCGCCGGAGGGUCGUUCGAGCGCGUGGGCGUCGCAGUUGCGCCGUUGGAGGCCAGACGAGCGCGUAAUUUCCUCUCCUUUCGACUUCUCGCCGUGGUUGGACGAGCUUUUCGAGAUGGGUUGAAGUUUACCGAAAUCGUCGAAAUGAUUUCUACUGUGGCCAACGUGUCGCUCCCUCCUUCUCUCCCGCGGUUCCUUCGCCCCCCCGCUCUCGACUCUUUUUCUUUUUUCCUCGGCGCGGGCGGGCGCAGGGCAGGCGGGGCGGGCACAGGCACGGGUCGCGCGCACAUGGUAGCACGGGCAGGCGAGGGCACGCGGCCCACCCUGCCACGUGCGCCGGGCGGCUCUCUCUCUCUCUCUCUCUCUCUCCCCCCUCUCUCUCCACCCCCUGGCUCUCUCUCUCACUCACCCCCGAUUCUUGCCCUCUCUGGAAUCGCAAAGGCUGCAAGGUGCGGACGAUUGUGGCACUAUGCCUCCCGCGCUCCUUUCCCAGCCUCCUUCCCCUGUCUCUUUCCGAUCUGCGAGGAUCUUCUUCUCUACCAGGUGGAGCAAUGGGAGCUCCAAAAAUUGUUCGUUUUGCUGUGCCCCUCAUAUGUUUGAUGAAAUGCUCGGCCUCCCGCGCCCCUCUCCCUGCCUCCUUCCCCUGUCUCUUUCAGAUCUGCGAGGAUCUUCUUCUCUACCAGGUGGAGCAAUAGGAGCUCCAAAAAUUGUUCGUUUUGCGGCGCCCCUCAUAUGUUUGAUGAAAUGCUCACUAGAGUCUUUUAUCCGAUUCUCUGUCCACUAUCAAAUUUUUCUGAUUUUACUAUGCUUGCUCUUGCAAUCUAUUGGUUAAUUGAAAUUUUAUAUUUUGUAUGAUUCUUAUAUAUUCUUUCUUACUGCUUAUUUUAUCAAAAAAAAGUAAAGAACUCUUAUUUGAAAAAGAAUUCUGAUAAUAGGCGAUGAUGAUGAGUUGAAACAUCAGAAUGUAUUCAGAGGUUCAACGCUUGAUUAUAGGUUUCAUACAUUGAUGAUGAAGUUUCAUAAGGUCUCUAUCUUCUCUUUUAAGUGUUUUUCGAAUUCAUAUUACAAGGUUUGGAUGGCGGGGCAGUAUGGAUGGCCACAUGGCAACCACUGUAGCUUCCAAUCCUUUGGAAGAGCUUGAUUUACACUUGAAGAGAAGAGUAGGAACUAUUUUAGUAUGUAAAUUAAUGUUGAAUCUAACUUUCUUUUCCAUGUUGCCUUCUAAUUUUUUUUCCGACUAUUACUUUUUAUUCUUUAGAUUUAUUCUAUUUUACAUAGUUUAGUUUUUUUUGCAUCGGAGGGGUAUGGGAGCUGCAUGCUCGCCAAGGACGACAGGGUUCUCGAUUGGAGGGACUACUUCGACCACCACAUGCUCCCGAUUUCGUCUCCAAUUACAGGUGAGAACAAAAGGUGCCUCCUUUUUCCUCUUCGAACAUUUUGUCUCUGAAUCACAUAUAUUGCAAUACAAUACUUGCCAUAAAAAGAGAUUGUAUAAUUUAUCUUAUAAAAAGGAUCACUUUCUUUGGUUUACAAACAAUAAAAUGUUGUAUUUUAUUUUAAAAAUCACUUCAUCAGGGAGUAAAGUGCAGUGUAUAUAAAUGUUCAGCGACGUCGCGCCCACGCCCGCUCGCACCGCCCGCUGGCACUGGGGAGAGGGGGAGAGAGAGAGAAAGAGAGAGCCGGGGAGAGGAGAGGAAAAGAGAAAGAGGGUGGGGGGGAGAGGGAGAGAGCCAGGGAGGGAGGAAGAGGAAAAGAGGGAGAGAGGGGGAGAGAGACUCUCUCUCUCUCGCACGCGCGCAGGGUGCGGGUCGCGCGGACAUGGCAGGCCNCGCGCCCGCGUCGGGACCCAACCCGCGCGGCGUGGGCCGCCUACGCUGCUCGCACCCCUUGCGCGCGCCUACGCCCACGCCCACGCCCACGCCCACGCCCACGCCCGCGCGGGCUGCGUCCGUGUCGACUCGUGCCCUCACGCGCCGCACGCUCGCCCGCGCCUGCUCUCGUCUGCACGCUUGUGCCCGCGCUUGCCCCCUCUGCGCCCCCGCCCGCUCGCGCUGGGGAGAGAGGAAGAGAGAGGGAGAGAGCCGGGAAGGGGGGGAGAGGGGGGGAGAGAGAGAUCUCUCUCCUUCUCACGCGCGCGUGCGCGAGGGGGUGCGGGUCGCCCGCACAUAGUAGGCCCCUCGCCUCUCUCUCUCUCUUUCUCCUUACCCCUUGGCUCUCUCUCUCUCUCUCCCCCACGUGCAAGCGACCAGCUCCCGGCACUCGCUCGCACCCCUUUCGCGCCCGCACCCGCACCCGCGCCCGCUCGAGAAGAAACGACAGGAGGGGGGGCGCUGAGAAGCGGCCACGUAGGCCACAGUAAAACUCAAGAUUCAUUGUAUCUAUAGAUAGUAUAGUAAAUAUAGUAAGGAAAAAGAGUUAGAUCAAAGAGUAGAGUAGGGGGAUAGAAGAGAAAAGAGGAAAUUGGGGAAAGAAAUGAGGAAGAAGAAGAUUAGAGAGAGAGAGAAGAGGACUGUAUAAAGUGCCGCCACGUGCCAUACAGCACAGGGCAGCAGGUAUCGUGCCCGGGCACGGUACAGAGAGGGUCUCGGACACCCCCCCCCCGGUCGUUUCGGCACUUUUUUUUUUCUUUUUUGCUUUUUUUUUGUUUUUUUCUUUUUGUUUUGCUCUUUGGGGUACCCGAAGCAUCCUGGGUACCCCACACCCCUCCCAAAGACAUUGCAAUUCGAAAAUCUACUUGUUAGGUAAGUCAAAAAAUUAAUAUUUUUUUUUUUAUCAAUAUACAAGUAAAUUUUUAAUUUACAUAUAUAAUCCACCAAAAAUAUCCAUUUUUUCUUCAUAAAUUGCUUUAUUAAAAUUUGCCACACCACGAAACUUUUGGCGAAUUAAGGGAACAAAAUCGAACUCAAUAAAUAAAUUGAGGCAUAUCAAACAUAAAAUUUUAUUUUUUCGCUAGAAGAUUGAAAAUACUGAUAAAAUUAAAAGCUAAAUUAAAUCAAUUAAUACUUAAAUUUAUUUAAUUUAUUUGUCAUAUAAUUUAUUGCUUAAUUUUUUUAAUAGAUCUAAUAAUUUUUUGAAAAAAAUUAAUUAAAAAAAUAAUUUUUCAAAUACUUUUUAAAAUAAUUUUUUUCAAAUAAUUUUUAAAAUAAUUUUAAAAAUUAUGUUUUUGUAUUUUAUAAAAGAAAGACUAUAAUAUAGUCAAAAAAAAUAAAGAAAGAUAUCUUUGCAUUUUAAAAAUUCUAACAUGUAAAAAUUUUUAUUCUGCAUCAGAUAUAGUUAUACUUUAUAUACAAAUAGAGUUUACAAGUAUGUUAAUUGAUGAGUAUAGUAAACUAUACAUAGCAAAUAUUCAUAAUUAGUUGAUUAAAUCUUUUAAAAGAACAUUAUAAGAACUUAUUGGAACAAAAAAAUUGAAAAAAGUCCAUGUCACGAUAGGAGGUCAUGCGUAUCCGUCGGCACACAAGCGUAUUAUGUGUCGACACAAAAGCGUGCCGGUGCCAUAUCAUGUCAGGCAAACAGCGGCACGCUCCUGUGCCACGGCACUUUAAACCUUGGUUAAUUCAUUUCAUUCAUGGCUUCAUAGUUACAUCUUGCUUCUUAUAUUCUCCUCUAUAUUGUACUACAAUGCAAAUUACAGAAAAUAGUAGAUUAAAGUGUAAAAAGUAAUAAAAAGGUAAAUGGGCCAUCUGGACCUAGUUCGGUGGAGUAUGGGCUCUGAUUUUGGGUUCUUUGCAUCCGAAUCUCUUUGUGGCUUAUCAGAGUGGAUCUCUCUCUCGAGUGCUUGAUCCGCUAGCUUAAAGGUUUAAAUACUUCUAAGCUCCCUGUUGCUCUAGAUCCUAUCGAAUGCCACCCUAGAUCGCUACUCCUACCUAGUCUUCGGCUCUCAAAGAAGUGAUCUCCAUAGAUGUGUCCUUCCUUUGAAAGCCCUUGCUCUGCCAUGGGAGAAGGCUAAGUCUCCUCCUUGAGUCUAGAUGCGCCUUUCCUUCAAAAGCCCUCGCUCCGCCAUAGAAGAAGGCUAAGUCUCCUCCUUGAGUCUCUUUAUUCUUCAAAACUACUUUACUGCUAUCUACUUAAUUUCCACUCUACUCAGGUUGUUACAUAAUCAUUCUUCAGAGCAUUCUUAACUUGGUGUUCCAUGUAUUUUUGACAAAGUUUCAUUGGUUAAGUCAACCUUUGAUUUUCAAAAGCAAAGAAACCAUAUAGCAUAUAGAAGCCAUCAUAGCACAGGUCGGUUCGUCAUUUCCUACUCUGUCAGCUAUUUAUUUGAAAUUUAAGAAAAUAAAUAUGAUACAAAUACUCAAUAGCAAUAUUACAGAUAAAUCGUAAAAAAUAAAAAGUAACAAGAAACAAGAGAAUCGAAAGAUAUAAAACAAGAGAGUCCAUUCAAGUACCUUGAGAAUAGCUGAAGACGAAUUACGAAGGCCGCAAGAUUGUCUCCCACUAUCAAGAUAAUAAGCAAUAUUUAGAAAAAUCAUAACAAAGAACUGCCCACAAAGAUACAGUAACUAAAGAUAGUUGCACAUCCUAUGAUUACUGCAAAAUAAACCAAGAACUGCCUUUAAUAUUACAUAAACCUCACUUCAGAAGCUAUUUGGGGGUGUGCAGGCCUAGUAAAGUACUAAACUACUAUCAAAAGACUAAUAUCAAUAUCAAGAGUUUUUGAGUGCUUUUCUUAAAGCAUACUUCUCAUUAGUCAAUCAUCAUCACAUUUGGCAAUAAUUUUCUGAAAACACUCAAAGAUAUCAUUUUAGGAUAUUAUAUGUUCCUCCAAGUUGAAGAUACUGGUCAAAUAGAUCCUUUGAUAUCAAUAUCUCUUGAUAUUUAUUCAAUUAAAGAGAAACAAAAAGAAAACCAACUUUGAGAUAGAAAUGCAUAUAGAUGCCUGAACGGCUAAACUAUUGGUCGUUUUAUAACGACCCAGCCCACUAGCAACAAUAACUCGUUGGGCCCAACCACCAACCCAAAAUGCUUAAGCCCAGUUAUUAUUACUAGUGUCUAAGUCUCAUAUAUACCCAACACAUCCCCAUUCCUAUCCAAUGUGGGAUUAUUGGGGUGUGACAGACUCCCCCCGUUAAGGCCCUGACGUCCUCGUCAGUCCAGUCACACACACAGCCCAAGAUCACCGGGCGAUGUGAGACUCGUCUUGCUAGCCUUGUCAUCCAGACCCUGGCAUAGCCGAUCACCUUGUCAUAUAGACUCCGGCAUAGCCUAUCACCUUGUCUUUCAGACCCUGACUCAGCCGAGACUCGCCACAUAUUUUCAGCUGGUAAUUGGCUCUGAUACCAAAUAUAACGACCCAGCCCACUAGCAACAAUAAUUUGUUGGGCCCAACCACCAGCCCAAAAUGCUUAAACUCAGUUAUUAUUACUAGUCUAAGUCUCAUAUAUACCCAAUCACAUCCCCAUUCCUAUCCAAUAUGGGAUUAUUGGGGUAUGACACGUUUCCAAACAGAUAGCUGAAUGAUAAGGGACUGUAGAUGCAUGGACAUCUUUUUUAGCAUACCAAUUUUAUUUACUGUCAAGGAACAAGUAGUAAUUGGCUUCAUAGGAGCACGAAAGUAUGUCUACAAUGCAUAAUUAUGCUGCCUCUCCUGUAAGUCUCUUUUAUCGAAGUAAGAUAAAUCACUUCAUAGGUGGAAUACAUAGAAAAUCAUGAUCAUAAGGACCUUGAAAUGGACUACAAUCAAACUACUAGGUAGCAAUCACAAAAGAAAAUUCCCAUGCAAUAAGCCAUCAUUAAUUCCAACAUCCAAACAGUCCCUAAAAGGUCCGAAUUCUGUACCUAACUGAUUUUAAUUUCUCACCCCUAUCCAAACAUCUCGAAAAAUCAUCACUUAAACCCCGCGCCAUCCAUCUACCUGUGCACCGUAUUGACACCAUUAUGCCCUUAAUUUAUCUAAUGCUUAUCUCCACCAUAUGUGGAUUGUAGCCUUUUCUCUAUUUUAAUUUGGAUGAUUAGAUUUGAUGUAUGAGAUGAAAUGGAGAGUGGAUUGCAGAAUGGUGCACGAAUGAACCAAUGCACCAAGUGGAGGCAAUAAUUUCUCGACAUAUUGGGGAUAGAAUCAAGGUACGGAAAUAAAUAUUCCAGAAAGGUUAGGCACUAGAUCAUAGUUACAGUGGCUUAUACGAAGGUGAAAAAUGAAAAACUAAGGAAAAAUUAUCUGAUAUACUGCCCCAUAGUUUGCUCAUACUGCUAUUGAGGAGAUAACCUUGAAACUUCAGCAAAUAUAAAUGGUACAACGAGAUCUCCAUGAAGUGCUAAUAUCCAGCGAAUUGGUCGACUAAACACGACCUGCAGAUGGAUUACAGUUUAGUUACUUUAGUAACACGAAAACUAAGCUGGAUCAGCAAAAGAAAGAACAUAUAUGGUAGUUACGGAUUAGACAACAGGAAAUUUAUAAGUUCCUUUGGAAAUGAAUUUGAUUCUAACAAAAUUUUCUAGGCUACAUAACAUUAGCAGUGAUAAAAUCAUCUUAAAGAUAGAGACACCUAAAUCUAAAGACACUUCUAAAUCAAAAGGCAAAGGGCAAAAUUAGAUACCUCUAUGGCCUUGUUUCACUUCUAUAGCCAGUGAAUCAGACAAGCUUUUUUUUUUUUUUUUACUUCCCAGAGGUUGCUAAUAAUUAAGGUUUGCCAUUGACUAGAAGUUAAACAAAUGGUAAUCAUUCGACUUAUUUAACUAUUGUAAAUAGGGAAGACCAACAAGAUCAAGCAAUUAGACCCUUAUCUAAGUGUUUUAGUGAGCUGAGUGAUUACCACGUGCUCAAUUUUAACAGCAUUUACAGUAAACUGUAGCAGAAAACACAAACAGCAGUAUCAGGGCACUCCGAACUUGUAGGGGUAAGAAGAUUCAGAAUAUACCAUUUCAGUUGGCAAGUACAAUAAGUUUGCUCAAGAGAUAAUUGAUACAUCCCGCAAGAGCAUUGUUGUGUAAGUGCACAAGAAAGAUGGAAAAGCAAGGGAAACUUGUAAUUGGCAACAGGUUGAAAAUUGUGAUCUACGUUGGAAGCUGGAACCACUAAUUUUAGCAGGCUAAGAGUUAAACGUUUGGUCGCCUUUCUUAACAUGCCUGUUCCAUGGGGCGUUAAUUAGUUCGCUUUGGUCCACUUUUUAGGCAAAUCUCAAACCGAAUCAAAUUUUUCAGUUUGAAAAAUUUUCCAACCGAACAGAAUUUAUACUCAGAACCGAUUCAAAUCAAACCGAAUUAAUUCGGUUUGGUUAGGUUUGGUUCAAUUUUGCAAUUAAAUUUUAUAUUUUUUAUUUUUCUUAUGAAUAAUUUUAUAAUUUAAGAUUUAAAAUUGAAUCAUUAUGAAAUCACACACAAAAGAAUUAAUUAUAAAGAUAGAAUUUUGAAAAACAUGUUGAUGUAUGAUAAUGAUUUGAUCAUAAAUGUAAAAUUUUAAUAUGUAAUUUAGAUAAAAAGUGUAAAAAAAAGAAAAAUAUUACUAUUCGGUUUUCGGUUUGGUUCGGUUCAGUUAAGAAAUGUGUUCAAACCAAACCAAAACCGAAAACCGAAUUUAACUAAAUUUGAAAAUAGUAACAAACCGAAAACUAUAUAAACCGAACCAAAUAGUCUUAUUUGGUUUGGUUCGAUCUGGUUUAUGGAUUGGGACCAAACCCUGUACACCCUACCUAUUCCUCAUGGACCAUUUCUUGGUUUGAUGGAAAUAUUUUGGGUUCUGGAUCAAAACAGUUGCAGGUCUAUAACUUGAGAACUUGUACAAGCUACAAGAAGAAAUGCCAAACGAAAAACAAGCAGCUGCAAGAAGAGAACUUGUACUGAACACAUAAAUUCACAUAUAAGAACUUCAAUCUAGCCACUUUAACUUUUGUGGAAUGUCCAGCAUAACAAUGAUACUCUGACAGGAAUUAAACAACGAAAAAUAUAAAAUAAUUAAGAAUGAAAAAAAAGAUUAAGAAGCCAGUUGUUACAUUGGAGUUCCAGCGCAUUGACUUGGGAAAUGUGAUAUUACUUAUUAUGCUCGGCAGAUCUUCAGCUAACACCUGCAAAAAUUAACAAAUUUAAUCCAGGCAACUGUCAUCAUGGUUGAACAAAAAUCAAAAUCUAGGUGAAAACAAACCUUCAAUGCAUAUGCAUAAUACUACAAUCUACAAAAAAUAAAACCAAAUACUAACAUGCUAAGAACCACUAUGCACUAUGCAGUUGAGUAGUCUGAAUAAGAAAUUAACACGCCGUGGAAGUAAAAGAGUUAGGGUUUUCAAGGUGCUAAGGAUAAGGCAAUAAACAAUUAAUAUAAUUUCGAAGUGGAAGGAUUGAAAUUUAUUUUGCUAAAAAAGCUGCGAAAAUAGGACCUAGAAACCCUCUCCAUGUUCAAGCGGAUUUGGAAAUAGAAAAGAUUAACACUUACAAGGAGUUAGUAAAAGAACAAGAAACACUACACUUGACAAAUAAAAUAGAAGUUUGUACUAGGAGCAUCAUAAGGACAAGUGGCACUACUUUUAUUUACCAAGUUUCAGUCCUUGACUCUGUUGGGAUCAAAAAAGAAUUUAAAAUUUAAAUUGAAAUAUAGAAGGAAGGAAAUACAGAGAGGAAAAUUUCAAAAAAAAAGGGGAAAGAAUCCAAUAAUUUGUAUAGAUGAUCAAGUUACCUUUUUUAAAAAAUUUUGAAUAAUUUCCAAAAAGAAGGGAAGUUGUUGGAGCCUUUUUAUAAGUUAGAUUCUUGUAAAAAGGAGAAGGUUAGAAAAAACAAAAAAAGAGAAUCUGAAAGAGAAGAAGAAAAAAAAAAAAAAGAAGAAAGAAAAAGAACUCAAAAAAAAAGGGAAAAAGAAGUUUUUUGUAUAUAUACUCUUUCUCUCUCUUUCUGGUGNCUUUCUUCUCCUGCGCACUAGCAGAGGUGCCAUGCACACCUCCCUCUCCUCAGCCCGUACAAUUAAAAAAAAAAAGAAAAGAAAAAGAAAGGAGCUUUGGCUCUUUCAUCUGACGACAGCAAUGACGACGAUCGCGGCGACUUCCACGGCAACAAAGGGUAAUGCAUGCAUACAAACAGUGUAAGUGUGAUUUGUUUUGUCAGUUUGAUCAACACGACCAUCUUCGCGAUAGGCUCGAAUCAAUCAAAUUCGACAUUAAAUCGCCACUUUUAUCGUGCGUAUAUAUCACUAAUCCAUAUUCCGAGCGGCCAUCUUCGUGGUAGGUUCGACACGGUUAAAAUCGGCGUUUCAUAUGGACGCCCUUUUCAUUGGGUUGAUCGAGCGGCCAUCUUUGCGAUAGGCUCGACACGAUCGAACCAUAUGCAUCACUAAUCCCUAUACCGAGCGGCCAUCUUCGCGAUAGGCUCGACACGGUCAAAGGGUUGAUCGAGCGGCGAUCUUUGUGAUAGGCUCAACACGAUCAAACCCACAUAUUUGGACAAAAAAUAAUAAUAAAGAAAAAUGAUGAACAUAUUUUGACUUGCCAUCUUCCUGAUACACAUUGUUCAAAUUAUUCGCCAUCUUCGUGAUAGGCACGAUUCGACUUGAUCAACUCGCCAUCUUUGUGAUAGACACAUAUUUGAUCAAAUUGCCAUUUUCGAACCUUGUGUUUGAGACAGGUUGUCUUAGCAACACCCUAUGAGUGCAAAAAAAAUUUGAUGAUUCAUGAAUUUGGGAUUGAUUUUUAAAAUCGGACCAAAUUAAUUUGGUUCGAAUCAAACCCGACAAAAAAAAAGAAGAAAGGGAAUGGUUUGGAGUUAUUUAAUUGAAAAGAGUGGGAUCUAUAAUUUAUUUAUGGACCCAAUGAAGAAAUCUCAUAUGCAGUUCACAAAAAAAAAAAAAAAAAAAAAAGCCAAAUCCAUUCCAGCCCAUAUGAUAGUGCAGGCCUAGUUUACAUACAGGCCCUGAAUCCAACCCAUAUAUAAUGUAGGCCCAAGUCUGCUCACGGGCCCUGAAUCCAGCCCGUAUGCAGAUGCAGCCCAAUUUACAUACGGGUCCUAAAUCCAGCCCGCAUAUAAUGCAGGCUCAGUCUACUCACAGGCCCUGAAUCCUACCCAUAUGCAGAUGUAGCCCAGUCUACUCGUGGACCCUGAAUCCAGCCCGUAUACAAUGCAGGCCCAGUCUACUCAUGGGCCCUGAAUCCAACCCGUACACAAUGCAGCCCAGUCCAUUGACGAACCCUGAAUCCAGCGCGUGUAGUAUGAAAGCCCAAUCCACAUAUAGGCUUCAAAUUCAGUGCACAUACAAAAUAAAACCCACAAAACACAAAAUCCACAAAUAAAACCCAAGACCCAAAGUCCACAAAUAAAACCGAUGAAGCCCAAAGUCCACAAACAAAACCCACAAAACCCAGAGUCUACAAAUAAAAUCCAAAACCCAAAGUCCACAAAUAAAACUCACAAAACCCAAAGUCCACAAAUAAAACCCAAGGCCCAAAGUCCGCAAAUAAAACCCAAAACCCAAUCUAUUUCAUAAAUAAAACCGCCAAAGUCUAAGAGCAUAAAGCUCAAAACUACCAAACCUAUAUUAUCCAAAUGCCUCCAAACCAAACCAAAUUUAGCCAAAUAAUUUCAUGGGCCUUUCAUGAACCAAUUUCAUAAAGUAAAAUGGGCUUCUCAUGAACCACUCGUUGGAGAAAAGCCUGCGGCGGAGCCGGUUCGUUCAUGGCGGCAGACAGACUCCUUGUGAACUUCAACUCUAAGUCCAAAGCCAAUAAAAAUAGGAAAUAAUAAAAUAGAGAAGGUCAUGCAUUCAAUGUUGCCUCUUGCCCGUCUUCACCCCAACAGCCCCCCUCCACCACAACAACCAAAGGGAAAAUCCUGGCUCUUCCAUGCCAGCUACAUAUUUUCUCUCGUUAUUAACGUAAUUGCCUUCCAUUCUCAAUAUACAAAAAUGAGAAACCAAAUAUUAGGAAAAUUGAAUACUUCCUUAAAUUGACCAUUCUAGAAGUUCUUGCUAUCUUAGUGAGUUUCCUUAUUCUUGGCCACCUAAAUUCCUUCUUUACAUUCAAAUAAGCUAUAGAUAUUAUUGACAAGACAUAGAGUGCAUUUACUUUAGCAGAAAAUUAACCAACAUUAGUCCAUAAAUCAACAAAACAUUCUCUAAAAUAUCCAACUAUAACAGUAAAAAGACGAUAUACGAACCUCUAUAGCAGACCGUGCAGACUCUUUCACACGAACAAAGACAUAUUCUGUUUUACCUGAAAUGAUUAAAUAAGAAACAGGUAAGUUAGUGUAUGAAUCUACUAUUUACAAAAUGAUUCCGCAAAGAAUCAAACAUUUUAGAAACACAUGUUCGUGCAAAAGAAUCAUUAAAUAAGCAAACUCAUCAAAGCAGUACAAUGCCAGAGAUACAAAUUCUGACAGUAUAGAUGUAAGUGACAGCAAUUGACUCAAAUAAGUUGACAAAGAGCAAAGGCCUAGGGUCAAAACUUAAAACACCAAGUAAAAAUCAAUUGUAGAAUGUAUCUUGUUAAAUAACUGGGUAGUAGUAAUACAUCAUUUCAACUAGCAAAUAUUCAUUCGACAAUCUGCUGAGAUGAACAGAAAUUUUCAAAAUACUGUCAGCAGCAGUAGCAGAUGGUAUGAUGAACAUGCAACAAUCAAAUAACAGUCCCAUAUCAACACAAUUUAACUUUUAUGUAGACCAAAAGUUUCAUAUACUACUAGUAGCAGAGAUCCACCUAUAGUCAGUAGAAAAGGUUAAAAGUAAGAAAAUCUUUGUAAUACAUACUAUUAGAUUUAGUGAAUAAGAUAUUGCGACAAAUUAAUGUUAGUUGGUUAUAACAUUCAUGUUCCCACAAGGCAAGAAAGUUUAGUGCCUAAUAUUUACUGAAGUGGACACUUCAUAUGAAAGUUUUACUAAUAUAGGCAUGCUAUCACACUUUUGCAAUUUGUCAUUAUUUAUUCUUCUUCUAGUUUAGAGAAAUGGGUAGAACAUCAGCAAAAUAAAAGGAUAUUAUUCUUAUCUAGACGUAGAACACAAAUGGUAUUGGAUAAGGGAUGCAAGUGCAUAUCAUACUACCUACAAUUGUACUGUAGACAUACCACAAUAGCAAGAAAUAAUAUUACCAUAGCAGUAAAAUGCACAGGGAGAGAACAACCAAUUACAAAAAAGAAGCCAAAUAUCAUGGUAAAAGGAAAGGUUUCUGUUAGAACUUAAACCGAAAAGAUCUAGUUCGUCGGGUGCGAAAAUACCGAAAGAGAAUCGAGAACGAGAGAAGAAAAAUAAAGCACACAAUAUUUACGUGGUUCGGCCAUCGGCCUACAUCCACGGGCAAAGACGGAGUGAAGAUCUUCAUUAUAAUCAAAGUGGUGUACAAAAUAUGCCUCUCUCACAAAACCCUAAUCCCAAAAAUACACCCAUAUUCUCUCUCUCAUCUUCCGCACUAAACCAAUGGAAUAAAGGAUAUAUUUAUAAUAGUGGCUAAAUCCUAAUACAACUAGGAAUACAAACCCACUAAGAUUAGGAAUAUCUCAAUAAAAUUAGGCAUAAUCUAAACUUAACUUAAUGGAAUAAUCAAAACAGAAUAGGGUUAGAAAACCUUGCGGUACUAGAAUUCGAGACAUAAUUAACAGUUUCAUUGAUAUGAAAUUUGUAGAUGCGCUUGUGUUAUAUUUAUAUCACCAUAACAAUGAUUGAUGCUUCCAACAUAAGAAUGUUUUUUUGCAUUAAACAAUGAGGACACUGAAAUACAUAUAGGAGAAAAGGACUUAUUCUCCCACACUCUAAAGAGGCUAGCAUUAGCAACUCUGGUUGGAUUCCAAAGAUCACUAGUUCCUCGCAGAAUAUCUUGAACGAGGUUGAAGAAGGAAAACUAUUCCAUACAACUCCACCUCAGUGUCGUAGUUCUAGAUGGGAGCAGUUACAGAACUAUAAAAAACUACUUAACAUACAAGGCAUAUCUCGGUUACAAUUUCACAAGUUCCUAAGAAGUGAAAGGCAUAUGUUGCAUAUAUGAAAGACAAUAUUAUUUUCUGAUAGGUGACUCGUUCCAAAUUGGUCCAAUAAAGUCAACUAUCAAAGAGAAAUUAUAAUACUAAAUCAAAGACAAAUCUGACAGACGAUUGUCACGAUUCUAACAAAUUUCAAAUGUCUACUAGUUUCAAGCUUCUGCUCGAUCUUAAGUUUUCUGGUUAACAGGGCUGUUUUGAUUUUCUUCAAAAAUGGACUUCUCUUGAAUCCCUAUUAUAGGUCAAACAUUAGCAAGAUUUAUGACCUGCGCAAGGAUAUUGAUUCAACAUCUAUAUCCUAUAUGGUACUAUACCACCCCCAACACCUCACGAAUAUGAGUCCAUAAUUUCAUCCUUGGCUUAUUCAAUGGUUAAAUGAUCCUAUAGCAUAUUAGCCUAUCAGGUCUUCAUUUAAUUACCGAACAGCUUUACAAGUUAGACUCAUAAUAAAGGUAAGCAGAAGAGAAGCAUCUAAAAAGGGCAUGAAAGAAGUAUUUCAAUUUUCAUUUCACACAAUUGUUCAGCACAUACUCUGUGGCAGUACUCCCAAUAAUUUAAAAAGAAGCGAAAAUAAAGUAUGAAAGAUACAACAACAGAGAAAUAAAAUAGCAAAAAGACAAACAACGAACAGAAUAAGUUAACACCAAGCAUGCUGCUACUAACCUUCUAUUUUCUUAUAUAGCUGGUCCACAGAUACACUAUUCUUACGGCAAAAACCCUCAGCAGCCUGAUGCAAAGAGAUAACUAUUUAAGUGCAUAUACAGGUACCAUUGAAUAUGAGUACCGACAGCAAGCAUUCAGUUGACUUACCAUAUGAUUUUCAUUUUAAUUUUCUAAAAAAAAAAUUAAUCAUAGUACAAAUUAGAAAACAAUCAGAAAGUGAUUGAUGCUACUAUACUAUCAUCAAAACAUUUUUAAUAAGAAACGUUGUGCAAUAUAAACGUUGUGCAUACUAUAUUUGAGUUAAUAACAGAUUUAAGAAUAAAGAAUCAAAGGGAAAGAGAAAGUUAACAGAAAAAAGACAAAAAAAGAAAACCAUUACCUGGAAAUUAAUAAUCAAAUUACUGUUGACCAGUUAAAACAUAAGAUUCAGGCAACUAAAUAAGGUAUGGCUAAAUCACUUUACAACACUUGCUUUGGCAAGAACAGGAAAAAAGAAAUAUGGCAGUGGAAACAACUAAAUAAGUAAGAAACUAGGACCUUAGUAGGCUUUCCUUCUUGAUCAAAUGCCUUUGCUACUGGGGGGCCACGUAGUUCAGUCUCCUCCUCUUCUUGAUUGAUACUAAGAUUUUCAACACAAAUCUGCAAAUGGACAAGUUAUCGAUUUGACGUGUUAUGCUUAACAGGGCAUUCAUACUAAUAUAGGAGACAAAGAUUCAUAUCGCAAGCCCAGAUUCUAGAAGAAAAUCAAAUAAGGCCACGGGUCUAGUGUCAAAAUCACUUUUUUAAGAAAAGCGAUGGAGUAUCAUGUAAGUUUUUUCACUUUAUUGAUAUGUCAGUCUGCUCACCUUCCGAAAAGAUGACUCGGACUGCUCAGCAGCUCAUACAUUUCAGGGGGUUUUGCAUACAAAAUUAACUUCAUAGCAUUCUUUUAAGUGAAGGCAGCAUUUUCAGUAGGGAUGUCAAUGGGUACGGAUACCCGAAAAUUUAUCCGAACCCGAACCCGAACGGAGCGAAUUUAUCCGAUGCUAAAUGGAUAUGGUUUUGGAUAUGGUUAUCAAAAACAAAAACCCGACGGAUAUGGAUACAGAUAUGGAUUUUGACUGUACCCGACCCGAACCCAAACCCGACCCGAACCCGAAUUUAUUUUACAUUAUAUAUAAUAUGUAUAUGAAAAUUUGAUAUUAUUUGUAUUUAAAAUUUUAAAUUUAAUAUAAUAUAUUUUGAAAUAUUGAAAAGAGAAAUAAUUGUUUCGGGUUCGGUUUUUCGGGUUCGGGUUCGGGUUUUGCGUUUUUGGUCGGGUUCGGGUUUGAAUAUGGAUUUUUCAAAUCCGUCGAGGCCGGGUUCCGGUUUGGGUUCAGGUUCGGGUUCUGGUUUGGGUUUCGGGUUUGGAGUCGGGUUUGGGUUCGGGUUUUAAUCUGCCCCGAAUCCAAAACAUUGACAUCCUUAAUUUUCAAUAAUCCUUGUGGCAUGGCAGUGUUGCUUAUUGUUGCCCCAAGCAUGUACCGCACAACAAAUUUGUAUACUAGCCGCACAGUGCCACCUUCUUUUAGGUUUUCUAUGGAAAAAAAACCACAUACCCUUAUUUGUUACCACUUAACUUUUUCUUUUUUGAACUCAAAUUCAACGCGAUUGGAUAUGACAACUAUCGUCAGCACUUAAAACAUAAAAAUUCAUUCUAAAUUUCCAUACUAAACUAUUGGCAUAUCAACUGAGGAUACUAAUAUCAGCAACACAAACUUCGAGGAAUCACAAAAUGAAACAUAAUGAUGCAAAUUUAGAUUAGCUGAUCGAAGAAAGUCUUCUAGACAGAAAUAACAACAGCAUGCUCAAAUAUUAAUAUCAACAGCCUAACAAAUGUACAACAACAUGAGCUUUGCAUAACUUCAAGGAAAACAUUUCUAUAGCAAAGUCUAAUAUGAAGGUUGAUACUUAUAGGUAUAAGAAGUAGAUACCACUAUUCUGCGCGGCGUACCAUAAGUCAACACUUUCCCACGACUCAAUCUUCGUUUCUCUAAUGUUUGCUCUACUAAUGCUUUGAGCUGCAACAGAUACAAAGCAUUUCUUAAUAGUGAAGCAAACAAAAAAUUUCCAAUUUCCCGAAAAAGGCAUUUCGGAAAUUGAUAAUAAGUAUCUUUAUCGGAACAACACAUACAAGUUUUCUGAGUGUUAAAAAAAAAAUGUCCCUGAGGAUAGCAGAGAAGAGACAAGAUGACAAGUUCUCAUGCAAUGCGCAUUAUCAUAGAGAGGAACAAGAAAAUGGUGAGAAACUAGGUAUCGUAUCAUGCCAAUGCGAAACAAACUUACUUGCCCGCUUGCUUCUACUACAUCCUGAGGUGGCAGCUCUUCCGUCCCAAUUUCAAGAACAAAUAAUCGAGGUUGCUCCAUUUCCUGUUAAAUCCAUUAAAGAAUGGUGAAUGUAAGCAGAUAUCAAAGAGAUCAAGAGAAUGACACCAUCUGCAAGGUAUAUAUGCACCAAAUCUAAUAAUUUUAUCCAAACUUUCCCUCUAAUAUAUUCUUUAUGGUAUGUACUGCUAUAACUGGAAUGAAGUUGAAAGAUCUAGAGAUUGUAGUAAUUUUUAGUGAAUUUCUCUAAUUCCAUGGUCUUCCCUGCACUUUGCCACUACUUUCAAUUUUAAGAGCUUGCAUAGAAAUCAUCCUACAAUAUAUAAUGAGCUGUAAUUUCAAAUGCAUAUCUACAACUGCAAACAUAUCACCCAAGUAAAUGAAUCCUCAUUAAUGCCAUUGCAUCAUUAUCUACCUAUUAGUUGCAAAGGAAAUGAAAAAGAAAAAUGUAAAACAGCUUGGAAGUGCAAAUUCCUCUCAUUUUGUAGUUGCUAAAUCACUCUUGAUGGCUGCUCUUUUCUGCAUAAAAUUCAAUAAUCUCUUCAGAAAGUUAUUUCAAAAAGGCUAAAUUGUAGUAUUGAAAUCAGGCAUUCAGAAGCUAUAUCUUUUUUCGUAUGCUAAAUAUGAUGUAUUGCAAUUUUUUUGCGUUUUCUUUUUCUUUUCUCACUAAGGAUAUUAGGAUGUAAAAACAAAUCCAACUUUAGAACACUCAGACGGAAAAAUAGCUUAUAGUCAAGGUAAACAUUUGCAUAGCGGAAAGUUUCUCAUUUCCAAAACAUAACAACUUCUCUAGGAAAAACAAAUACAACUUCUUGGGUAAGAAAGGAACAUGGAAAAAACUAAUCAAUCUAAUCAGUGAUUUUUACCAAAUUAUGAUGUAUCUUGCUGCAUAGAGAACUUAUGCAAUGGUAACUGAUAACUAACAUCUUGGCUAAGACCACUAUCUUGAGAAAUACUAGACUAUACUAAGUACUGACCAAUGCUUGCACAGUAGGUGCCAAGCUUUAUGGACAUGGAGCCCAAUGGACUGCACAUUAUUGGACGAACGGGAAAUAUUUAGUUAACAUUAUUCCUAAGGUUGUUUAAACUUAUACUAAGUGCCCAUUGGCAUGGGUCGUGCCCACCGUACCAUACCAUACCGACAAGAUAUCAGCAUGAUACGACCCCCCUGUUGAUGCAUGACUCGACAUCAUCUUUUCUUUGAAAUUAAGUUAUUUCAGUAAAGUGCAAAAAAAAUGAUUAACAUACAUAAUAAGCAAUUAAAAUAUAUUGGGACCAUAGAAAAUAAAUGUUUCAUAUCAUAAUACGUUGGCACAGGCAUAUUUGUGACUGGCACACACCUUCUUGGCACGACCUCCAUACCAUGACACUUAAAUCCUUACUUCCACGUCAAUUAGCAAUAAUGUGUAGCUUUAUAUACACUACAUAAAUUAUAAUAACAUUGCGACUCUGGUAGCCAAACAUGUUGUAUGCAUUCUCCAUCUUUUAAAGCAUGCAAAGGAGCAAAUCGCUCUUUUAGGCAAGAAAAACUUUCGCUAUAAGUCAUAACUUCAAUGAAGCAAGAUUAAAUUAUAUCUAUUUAAAGCUUCUAACAAACAAACCUUUUUCAAAUCAAAUUCAACAAUGCUAGGAUGGAUGAGACUAUUUGCAUCAUACGAAAUGCCUAAAGGAUGACCAAGACUCUCACGUGUCUUUACCCAUAACUGAGCACAUUGGCGAGCAAGGCUGCACAAUAAAAUGAUACAGUUAUGAAGAUAUGGAAUAUAUUUGUCAUUACUUCAUAUAAAGAAUUGCAACACCACAAGAAUCACUUCAUAUGGAAAUAUUAUUAAUUAUUCUAGUUCUAAAAUUCUUAAGUUGCAUAUUCAAACAAUAGUGCGUUUAUCAUAUUUGUAGCCACAUGGAGCCCACAAAAAUCAAAAAGUGAAUGACUCAAAAAUGAAUAAUAACAUGUACACUAGCAUAAGCCUUACAAGUUUUAGCUACCCUUGUUAUAAGGAGUAGACAUAUUUUCAAGCACACAUGCAUAAGCAUAAGCACAAUACUACAACAAUAGGGGCAAUAGUGUCAUCAUGUUCACAUACCCAGUAUGAUUAGUAUCCGAUGGCAUUGACUGUUAUUUUCAGAUUAGUUGGUCAUAAAAUCCUCAACAUAUUAAUAGCACAAAACCACAAUAGUAGGGCAAUUGAAAUUGGUUUAUAACCUUAAUCUGAAAAUAGCAAGGUAAUUUUCCUGCUAUCUGUCUUACCUUGAUGCUUUAGAAGCCAUCAUAUUCAUAUACAACAUCUACUAAAAUGAAAUUGAACUCUCACAUUUAAUCGCAUCUAGAUUGAAGAAAAUUCAUAUUAGGACGUAAAUAAAUUGACUCAAAGGCAAAACAAACAUAUCAAAACAAAUAUGAUAUGCACUCAAUUGAAAUCAAGGACAGUUGAUACAUUUAUCAAUAAUUUCAUCCCCAAGAUGACAUAAUGGUUGGCUUUUAGAAUUUACAAUAGGGAAAUAGAAAAUUUCACCUGCGCAUGCGGCCAAAAUAUCUAGCACGCUCAGUGACACCAACAAAUCCUCUAGAGUCCAAAAUGUUGAAAGCAUGAGAAGCCUUUAAAAGCUGAUCAUACCUAACAAAUUGCAAAGAAAAGGUCCACUACGAUAAAGGUCAACUAUUGGACUGCUUUAGGACAAGUAAAUUGUUACAAAUAGAAAAUUCGGUUUUAUAAGUGUACGCAGGAAUGGGGAGUCCGAGUGACAGCAAUGAACAAGCUUCUUCUUCAAAAUUCUCAAAGUGCUUCUGGAUAUGCUCAACGUUGGCAUGUUCCAAAUAAUAAAAGCUCAUCUCCUUCCUGAAUCAACAGAAGGCCGAAAUAUUUGCAUGAUUGCAUGUCUAAAAACAUGACAAUCUAUCACUUACUUGAAGAAGACAAUUGUUCAUAGUAUCUAUAGCAAUUUACAUAAGUAAACUAAACCAUGUCUUCAAUGUUAAAGAUGGCUGUAAAUUUACAAAAUAACAUAAGAGCUACAAGUAAAAGCAUUCAAAAAAGUAGUGCAUUGUAUUUCAACACAGAUUGACAUCUGCAACAACAUAUAUAAUGUUGAAUUGUUGACGAAAGCCUAGAAAACAUGAAAAAACUGCACAAUCAUCAGAGAAAUUCUUCAGGAAACCUAUAACAGUUAUCUGUUUAAGAACUAAAAAAAUCAAGUGGCCAACUAAAUGACAAAUGCAACAUAAGCUACUCCCAGAAAUCACAUAUACUGUUCAUUCAACUAUUACUUUCAUUCCAUCUAACAUCACCUACACCCUCAAGUUCUCAUUGCUCCCUAUUUUCUUCCGAUGCUUUCUUUUCUUUAUGACUACAACCGAUUAACAGCCAGACAGUGGAGUGUAUGGCAAACUACCCAUAACAAUUAUCUGACUUACAAUCUACUAAAUGAAUAACCACCUACCCACCUGAACUAGAUACAAUAGUUUCAUUAUGAUUGCUCAUUUAUUUUUUAAAUGUAUUGAUGAAUGUAUGCGUCCAUUGAUUGAAAAAACAAAGAAUAAGUUGCUAACAUUGAGAUUUCACACAUUCAAUCACCAAACCUUCCAAAAUAUUAUACAAAUGCAAUAUCACCAUAACAUGCAGCACAAAAGAACUUGUGUUCAAUUGACAAAAAUAUUAACUAUAAAAGUUACUGACUUCAACAUAGUUUGUAGCAAGAAGACCAAAAUAAACAAACGAAAAAAGCAAUAAAUAGCACACAUAUCCAUCUCAACCAUGAUUGAGAAAAGCAGCAAUGCACUUUUAAAGAUAUUUGAGAAGCAACUAACUCAUUCUCCAAAAAUAGCUCCCCAUAUGUGAUUCCGUCAGCAUAUUGUAUCUUCUUGAAAUGAUCUACCCCCUGCCAACCAUGUCUAAAUGGAAGUAAGGUCAGCUCUUACUAAAAACUAACAAACCUAUGGUGAGAAAGGUCUCUGGAAUGGGUAGUUGCAUUAUAAGGAAACCAAUUUUGGAAUGCAACCAAUAUGUAUACAUUUUUGGAAUGCACCCAAUAUGUAUAAUGAAUGUCUAAUCAAUUAAAUAAAUUGAAUAAAUCAAACAAGCAACAAUCACAUUAAAGUUUAGCAGAAAAUGCAUUGAACAGAACAGCCAAUAAAACUUUUAGGGAAAACUUUAAAUACCACCCCUGUGGUUUCACAAUUUCUCACUUUAGUACCUUGUGGUUUAAAGUGUAUCAAUUUAAUGCCCUGUGGUUUCAUUUUUAUCUUUUUAUUAUCAAUUCCACUAAUUUUUUUCGUUAAAUCAGUGACAGAGUUAAAACUAAAGGGUACUAAAGUGAAUAUUCGAUAAACCUAGGUGGGGUAUCUGAAGUUUUUUGUAUAUAAUUUAACGAAAUAUUAACGAAAAAGCUGACGAAAAGAUAAAAAUGAAACCACAUGACACUAACUUAAUACACUUUAAACCACAGGGUAUUAAAGUGAGAAAGUGCGAAACCACAGGGGUGGUAUUUGAAGUUUACCCAAACUUUUAUCUACCUGAUGAGGUCAAAGUUGCUCACAAGUCACAAAUAUAUCAAAGCAGCCACAAAUGCAAGAAGAAAUAUUCAUCCCACAAACAGAUUUUUGUGUUGGUUGAAAAUUUAAGGGUAUAAAUAAAAAUUAUACAUCUAAUAAAAUGUGAAAGAGACAGGAGAGAGAACAUAGGGAUUGGGGGGAAAAAUUUACUCCAUGAUUCAUUUUCCACAAGAAUGAAUUCCAAUGUUUGAAUACAAGUGAAGUGAAUGCUCAAUAUCUUCCUCACAGAAACUUCACAGAAAUGAUAAAAACAUGCAAGGUUGUAGAGUAAGUGCUAAUAAUGUUCCAAAAUAGUUGAACAGAUUAAAUGCAUUUGAAAAAUUAAGUAGAUAUUAAUUUUAAUCUGAUUCAGAUUGAAAAUCAUCGUAUAGCUUGUCAGACAGCUGUAAAGUGCUUAAGCAAUUGUUUUCAACAUUUUUGUAAUACCUAAGUAGAAAAGUACAGUUGGCCAACUUACCUGAAGUGACAUUAGAAUCCUUUCAAGACCAUAAGUUAUUUCAACAGAAAUUGGAAGCAAUUGAAGACUUCCAGCCUGAAGAUAUGAAAAAAAAUUAAUUGUUACCACUUGACUUGCAAGCCACAUUGCACAUCAGUAAGAUCUCACACUAUGUUUCAAGCAAAGGGGGAAAAAAGAAAAAGAAAAAAAAUACUGAAAUUAGAAGUUAUAGCAAUGGAUAAAAUAUAGAUUAGCCCUAAACAUCCAAUCUUCCACUUAAACAGAUUAAUCCCACUUUGUACGUACUUUCUUUAAUGCCAGCUAUAUGAUAUGCAUACAACCUAACUAAAGAGAAAAUUUUGGACGACAAUCAGACCCCUGGAUAACAUCGCAAGAGUUAGGUGCAUUUAGCAACUGAUCUGUUUAAGUGAAAGAAUAGGGAUCAUAUUACAAUUCAUUGAAAAUUCAGAGGCUGUCAGUACAUUUUAUUCCAAAACGUGAAGUUCAUUAGGAAGAAAACUCACAUACAUGACAUCUACAUGCGGUCGUAUUUAGAUUUUAAGGCAAUGCCAAGCGCACUACAACAGAUUCUAGUCACAUGGAAGCAUUGAAAAUGUAGUGUGAUGAUAAUUUCUUUGUCUUAACCAUUUAUAACCUCAGAGAAAGAAAACUAGAAGAACAAAAAAUUGUUAACCAUGGCAGUUAUAUAACAAGAAGCAAUGAGAAUACCCUGCUUCCAUAGACAUGCUUACCUGCUGAAAAUACGUAAACUGUGUAAUUUCCAUCCCAUCCAUCCAUACCUCCCAGCCCAAUCCCCAAGCACCGAGAACCUGCCCACAUUUUGCAGUAUAAUCUGAGCAAAUAUGAACAAUUGAAAAAAUAAAUAUGGUUUCUCAUCAAGUGAAAUUUUGAAUAUGUUCAAGCUUUAGAUAAACCCAAAGAAUGAUCGACUUAAAAGGACGAAAUGAGUACAUCUUGUUAGAUAUUGUUCUCCAAAGCAUUUAUGCUAGUCAAGAAAAAAAUAGACAAGCAGAUCAAAUUGGAAAGAGCUCUUUACCGGACUUUCCCAGUUAUCCUCCACAAAACGAAUGUCGUGUUCAUUGACAUUGAUACCUGAGAUACCAAAAAAAGGCAUGUAACCUCAUAAAAGGAUUACUGACUUCAUAUCGAAAUUUAAGAAAAUUUAUAAAUUCGUUAGUUGAUCAUAAGAUCUCGCUAUUAAAAAGAUGCAGCAAAGUCCUUGUCAUUAUUCAAGUUGGCAAUUUUUGCUAAACAUAAAGCGCACUGCAGGCUGCAAGUUAACUGACAUUCUUCAACUGAAUUAAUUAUAUUGAAACAGACAUUCAAUAAAGUACAUCUUACCUCGACAUUUAAACUGAGUUAACAAAUAAGACAUCAUUUGGUCACACUUCAGGCUUUUUUUCGUUUAUUAUCAUUAUUAGGGUUCCGGGUUUAUUAUUAUUAUUGUUCUUGUUGUUGUUGUUGCUGUUGUUAUUAUUAUUGUUAUUACUACUACUAUUAACGCAAGUGUGCUGGUGGAAGAAGGAAUUAUUGCAAUCUAUACAUUCUGGGGUUUGGUUUUGGCAACAAAAAAACAAAAACUUAGUAGUCUUUCUGCUUCUUUGUUUUUAUGAAAAAAAAAAAAAAGAUGAGAAGAUAACUAACAAUAAUAAGAACGAAGAAGCCCAUAUGUCAAUAAAAUCCAAUACACAGAAUUUAUGCCUUGUUAAAGCGCGGCUGAGUUCACAACUCAACAAAAUAUAUGCCCAUAAGACUUUCUUGGACAGUACAGGAGAAUAUACAAAAAGUGUGUUGUGGGCUUAUUCUUUCUUGGGAGAAAUGGAUGAAGACAAGGGAUAAGCCUUGCCAUAAUCAAGGAGGAGAAAAAUGAAACUGUACCUAAAUCAGUAGUAGGUCAAACGGUUAUCAUACAAGCUUGUUAAGUUCAGCUCAAGAAAUCUCAAUAAUCCAUAAAAUAAAAGCCUCCCAGAAUCAUUUUUCUAAGUGCCACAUCCAAUUUGAACCAUGGACAACAAACCAAUUUUCUAGUCGUACUCGUCAAAGUUGCAAUAAUAAGGAUACUAGGGGAUGUUUGGUUCCUUGAAAAAUAUCCCAGAAAAUAGUUCUCUGGCUGAAAAAGUAUUUUCCAUCUGUUUGGUUCCCAAGAAGAGUAGUUUUCUAGGAAAAGUUUUUUGCGGAUUUCGUGGAAAAGUAAUGUUUUUUGUUUUCCGAAUUUUUUAUCCUGAAAACGAAAACUGUGAAAAGGAAGCUUUCCAUGGAAAACUUUUUUCCCAGAAAACAGUUUUCCACACAUUUCCGAGGAACCAAACACUCCGUUAAGUAGUCUGCAAAAAAAAACUGAAAAAAAACUAUAUUAUAUUCUGCAAAUCUAUGACUAUUGAAAACAACUUACAAUGAUACUUGAUCUAUAAAACAUUUAUUUCACUUGAAAUGUCUCAUUGAAUUCAACUUCAACAAAUGAAAGUGAUAGAAAUAAUAUUGAAAAGAUAAUACCUAAUGCUGAAAGGCUACCGAGGAAGAGAUCUUGUGAAUUUCCAGGAUCAGGUUUCAAGAUGACCUGCAGGUAUGGUAGGACAAAACAUAUAUAUUUAAACCAAAAAAGCUACAAAACAUUGAACUGCAGGGAAGUAACAUGCAGUUCUUGAAUAUAGAGCAUGUUAUUAAUCAAAAAAACCUGAAAUUGAGUGUGACGUUGAAGCCUAUUGGGAUUGUCUCCAUAACGGCUGUCAUCAGGUCGUAUACUUGGCUCCACAUACCUUCCAUGAAAAUUUUCAUAAUUAACUACACAUGGUACACAAAACACAAAUGUUUUAUCCAAUUCUCUUUUUACAAUUCAAUAUAAAGACCUAUAAUAAUAAGAUCAAUCAAUAUUUACCCCAUCUAAAGAACAUUACUAUUAGCAAGAGCAAUUAAACAACAGCACAACAUCUACGCAAUCCUUGAUAUUUAUCCAUGUCCCUAAUUCAUAGAUAAAAAAAGUCACUCUAAAAGCAUCAUAUUCAAACCAUAUGAACAUACACCCUCUCCACUUUCCUAGUUCGGUGGAACUGCAAGCAGAACUUUUUUUGGAAAAUUUAUCUUGCAAAUUAAAGUAGUUCAUGUAAUGUAUGUGUGACAACUUCACAACUUGGAUUAGUUAGAAUUGUUUCAUUAGACAUAGAAAUAUCAGUAACGUGUUCAAAAACUAUGAGAACACUGAAUGAUGUUUCCCUGUACAAAUGCUUGGUUUAAUUUAAUUAGAUUUUAAGCUGGGAAUCAAACAUCAAACGACAUUAGAAUUUUGAUCCAACCGGUGGCAUGGGAUUGACUAAGCAUUAAAUCAAUGAACAAAAGUGUUGGAGAAGCUAUUCAUAAGAUAAAUAAAGAUGACAUGCUUCAAGCGUCAACUCCUCCCUAUAACAUCCUUAGGUCAUCUUUGCUUUGGGGGUUUAAGGGUGGAAUAAAGGGUUUAUUCCACCCUUAUCUCCCAAACAAAAAAAAAAAUUGGUGGGUACACUAGUUCCCACCCCUUAACGGGCUAGCCCGUUAAGGGGUGGGAACUAGUGUACCCACCCCAAGGUGGGCCCAGCUUGUUCCACCCGUGGAGAGAGAGAGAGAGAGAGAGAGAGAAUUUUUAAUUUAUUAUAAAUUUAAAUUUCGUAAGUUAAAAAAUUAAAUUUUAUAAUUUUUAAAAUUACAAAAUUAAAAAUUUAAAUUUUAAAUUAUUUAAUUUUAAAUUUUAAAUUUUGAUAUUUUAAUUUUUUUAUAUUUAGAAUUUGAUAUUUUGUAUUUUUAAAUUAAAAUUUCAUCUUAAAUUUAAAGUUUAAAAUUUAAAAUUUUAAUUUUUUAAAAUUGUAAAUUUUAAAUUUUAAAUUUUAAAAGUUUAUAUUUUAUUCUAAAAUAUAAAUAUAAAAUAUAAAAAUUCAAAUUCUAAUAUAAAGAAAGGGAUAAUAUCAUUAUUUUUUAUUUAUAACUACCCACUUUAAUUCUUAUUUCAUCUUACCUAACCAAACGCUAUUUUUUUAUUCCCAGGAAUAACCCAAAUUUCAUCCAAACGCAAAAUUGAUCUACUCCCCGCUUAUUUCUCAAUUUAUACCUAUCCCUGGAAUAGCCGCUUUUUGCUUAUCCCUGAACCAAACAAUACCUUAGAAAAUCUGGAUAAAUUUAAUCGGAAUCUUCAUUCGCCCUUUUUCUUCUUAUAAA